rnacentral:rRNA from 1 species
GACGAACGCUGGCGGCGUGCCUAACACAUGCAAGUCGAACGGGGUAAUCCUUCGGGGAUCACUUAGUGGCGAACGGGUGAGUAACGCGUGAGAAACCUGCCUUUCAGUGGGGGACAACAGUUGGAAACGACUGCUAAUACCGCAUAAUGUUUCGAGAGGGCAUCCUUUUGAAACCAAAGCUUUAUGUGCUGAAAGAUGAGCUCGCGUCUGAUUAGAUAGUUGGUGGGGUAACGGCCUACCAAGUCGACGAUCAGUAGCCGGACUGAGAGGUUGAACGGCCACAUUGGGACUGAGACACGGCCCAGACUCCUACGGGAGGCAGCAGUGGGGAAUAUUGCACAAUGGGCGAAAGCCUGAUGCAGCAACGCCGCGUGAAGGAAGAAGGUCUUCGGAUCGUAAACUUCUGUCCUUAGGGAAGAUAAUGACGGUACCUUUGGAGGAAGCCCCGGCUAACUACGUG